AGAGUUUGAUCCUGGCUCAGAUUGAACGCUGGCGGAACGCUUUACACAUGCAAGUCGAACGGUAACGUGGGGAGGAGCUUGCUCCACCCCGACGACGAGUGGCGAACGGGUGAGUAAUACAUCGGAACGUGUCCGCUCGUGGGGGACAACCAGCCGAAAGGUUGGCUAAUACCGCAUGAGUUCUACGGAAGAAAGAGGGGGACCCGCAAGGGCCUCUCGCGAGCGGAGCGGCCGAUGACUGAUUAGCCGGUUGGUGAGGUAACGGCUCACCAAAGCAACGAUCAGUAGCUGGUCUGAGAGGACGACCGGCCACACUGGGACUGAGACACGGCCCAAACUCCUACGGGAGGCAGCAGUGGGGAAUUUUGGACAAUGGGCGCAAGCCUGAUCCAGCUAUUCCGCGUGUGGGAUGAAGGCCCUCGGGUUGUAAACCACUUUUGUAGAGAACGAAAAGACAUCUUCGAAUAAAGGAUGUUGCUGACGGUACUCUAAGAAUAAGCACCGGCUAACUACGUGCCAGCAGCCGCGGUAAUACGUAGGGUGCGAGCGUUAAUCGGAAUUACUGGGCGUAAAGGGUGCGCAGGCGGUUGAGUAAGACAGAUGUGAAAUCCCCGAGCUUAACUCGGGAAUGGCAUAUGUGACUGCUCGACUAGAGUGUGUCAGAGGGAGGUGGAAUUCCACGUGUAGCAGUGAAAUGCGUAGAUAUGUGGAAGAACACCGAUGGCGAAGGCAGCCUCCUGGGACAUAACUGACGCUCAGGCACGAAAGCGUGGGGAGCAAACAGGAUUAGAUACCCUGGUAGUCCACGCCGUAAACGAUGUUAACUAGGUGUUGGGAUGUAACAAUCUCAGUAACGCAGCCAACGCGAGAAGUUAACCGCCUGGGAAGUACGGUCGCAAGACUAAAACUCAAAGGAAUUGACGGGGACCCGCACAAGCGGUGGAUGAUGUGGAUUAAUUCGAUGCAACGCGAAAAACCUUACCUACCCUUGACAUGUCAGGAAGCUCUUGUAAUGAGAGCGUGCCCGCAAGGGAGCCUGAACACAGGUGCUGCAUGGCUGUCGUCAGCUCGUGUCGU
rnacentral:rRNA from 1 species